rnacentral:rRNA from 1 species
AACAAACGCUGGCGGCGUGCCUAAUACAUGCAAGUCGAACGGGGAAAGUAGCAAUAUGAGUACUAGUGGCGCACGGGUGAGGAAUACAUGGGUAAUCUGCCUUCAAGUUCGGGAUAACCAGUCGAAAGAUUGGCUAAUACCGGAUAAGACCACAUGAACUGCGGUUCAAGAGGUCAAAGGUUUUUCGCUUGAAGAUGAGCCCAUGGGGGAUUAGCUAGUUGGUGAGGUAAUGGCUCACCAAGGCGACGAUCCCUAACUGGUCUUAGAGGAUGAUCAGUCACACUGGAACUGAGACACGGUCCAGACUCCUAAGGGAGGCAGCAGUAGGGAAUAUUGCGCAAUGGGGGAAACCCUGACGCAGCGACGCCGCGUGAGUGAUGAAGGCCUUCGGGUCGUAAAGCUCUGUCGUAUGGGACUAACAAAAUGAAGGUACCAUGCAAGAAAGGAUCGGCUAACUUCGUGCCAGCAGCCGCCGUAA